rnacentral:misc_RNA from 1 species
GUAUCCUUCAAUGCUUUCCCAUAUAUGCUUAUCAUCUCAUCAAGUUCUUCAAGACUCAAGGUGAAUGGAGGGGCCAUAUUUACAUGAUCACCAGAAAAACUCACCAACAUACCAUGCUUUUGACAUUGUGAUCCAAAAUAUGUACCAACACCCCAUUCUGGUGGAAAAGGAUCAUUAGGAGAUUUGUUAUCUACAAACUCUGUAGAAAGUACUAAACCAGUUCCCCUUAUCUCUCCAAUUAUUGGACUGUCUAUAAAUGCUUUCAAACCUUCUUGAAACUUUGGUGAUAAUUUAUUCACUACCUCAGUAAUAUUUUUUUCCUUAUAGAUUUUUAGUGCUUCCAAUGCAACCGCACACGCAACAGGAUGUCCAGAAUAAGUAAAUCCAUGGCAAAAAACACCAAGUUGAUUGCUUUGAGACAUUAUGACCUUAGAAAUUUCUUCACUUACAAGCACAGCACCAAUUGGUAUAUAUCCACCAGAAAGAGCCUUUGCUAUAGAGACAAGAUCAGGCUUAAUGUUGUACUUAUCACAGCCAAACAUUGUCCCAAGUCUUCCAAAUCCACAUAUCACCUCGUCCGCGAUGAAAAGAAUGUCAUAUUUCUUUAAAACAGCUUGAAUCUUUUCGAAAUAAGUAGCUGGAGGAAUUAUAACACCUGCUCCUCCCAUGACUGGUUCCGCAAUGAAAGCAGCAACUGUUUCAGGACCCUCUUUGAGUAUAAGAUUUUCCAAAUUAUUUGCCAACCUAGUUGAGUACUCCUCUUCUGUCUCACCUGGCAAGUGAUAGUUCCAAUAAUGAGGGCAAUCAGUGUGAAGAAUAUAUGGAGGUGGUAAAUCAAAUUUUAGAUGUAGUGAUGGAAGCCCGGAGAGACCGGCAGUCAUAUAAGUGGAGCCAUGGUAUGCAUUUUUUCGAGAAAUAAUUUUCUUUUUGUUUGGCCUCCCAAUGGCAUUGUUGUAAUACCACACCAACUUCACCUGAGUGUCAUUAGCUUCUGAUCCACUACUUGUGAAAAAAACUUUUCCCAUCUUAUUUGCAGUAAACAUAUUUAUGAGCUCCUUUGCAAGAUCCAAAGAAGGCUUUGUGGUACGAUUCCAAAAUGAGUGGUAAAAUGCCAAUUUAUUGAGUUGUUUAUUUGCAGCUUCAAUAAGACGAGGCUCACUCCCCCCUAAUACUGAGCACCAUAAACCAGAUAAAGAAUCAAGGUACUUCUUUCCAUUUACGUCAUAGACAUAAGAACCCUCCGCUUUAUCUAUAACUAAAGGUCCCAUAUCAAUCAUCCAUGCCGCAGUAAAUGGUGCCAACAUAUCAUGUCCCAUAAAUCCAUUAGUCUUGGCCAUUCCUUGAAGCUUUUUUGAAAAAUUAUAGAAAGAUAAAGCAAGAAAUGAAAUAUAGAGAGAGAAAGAUAGGUUAA